UAAAGUUUUGUAACAUGAUAACUUUAAAAGAUGCGAAAUCAUGUUAAGUCAUCGAUGCUACAUUUUUCAAGCAUUAUCCUUUUUCGGAAUUAUAAAUAUUCGUUAUAUAAAUUAACUCGAUAUUCUCAUAGUGGACUGUCGGGAAAUUUACUAAGUCGAAGAAAAAUAUCAUAUAUAUCAGAAAAAUUGAAUGAAAAUAUAUUAAAUAAUUCAAAACAAAAUUUAUUGAAUAAGGAUGUGAAAUUUAUAAGUGAAAAUAUUAUUAAAUUAAUUGCUAGUUAUGGAUCUCCAGAUGUACUACCUCUAGCUAAUUAUUAUUUUAAUGCAAAAGGAAAGUCCAUUCGCCCAGCAAUAAUUUGUAUGAUAGCAAGAGCAUCAAAUAUAUUGUUUAAAGAAACUACUUCACCAACUAACAAAACCUAUAUAGAUUCAAAUCAACUAAAAAUUGCUUGUUUUGCUGAAAUGAUUCAUACAGCAUCUUUACUUCAUGAUGAUGUUGUAGAUCGAGCCAAUACAAGGAGAGGUAAUAUAAGUGCAAAUAUUAAAUGGGGCCAGAGAAAGCCUGUAUUAGUUGGAAAUCUUAUAAUGGCUCUAGCUAGUCAAGAGUUAGCCAAAAUUAAAAAUGUACAAAUUAUUAACAUUUUAUCUAUUAUAUUAAUGGAUUUGAUUCAUGGGGAACUAAUGCAAAUGGGUUCAAAACUUACAGAUAAUGAAAGAUUUUCUCAUUAUCUUCAGAAGACAUUUAAAAAAGCUGGUAGCCUCUUAGCAAAUUCAUGCAAAUGUGUUGCUCUUUUAUCAUUAGAAAACAAGGAAUAUCGAAAUAAUGAAUCUGUGGAUCGUAAACUAAAUUUGUUUUACAAAUUUGGAAAACAUAUUGGCAUGGCAUUUCAAAUUCGUGAUGAUAUACUUGAUUUUACAGGAGAUAUGGAUAAAACUGGCAAAAAUUGUGGUAACAAGGAUAUAGCAAUAUCUGGAUUAGCUAACGCACCUUUAUUAUUUGCCUGUGAAAAACAAAUUUUGUUUGAUAUAUUUAUAUUUUACAGUUUCCAUACAUUGAAGCAAUAAUUAUGCGAAGAUUUUCAGAACCUGGAGAUGUUGAAAAAGCAUUAGAAGCGAUUAAAAAGAGUGACGGUUUAAAAGACACGCAAAAUUUAGUCUUAUUCCACGCCGGUCAUGCUAAAAAUAUACUUGACGAACUUUUCCUGCCUUUAUCUAAAACAGAUUUUGAUUUGUUAAAUUUAUAUAAUUCUCUUAUUUCUAUGU